UGUAACUCAUAUGUUUUCAAGAGGAUCUUCUCAAUAUAACAAUGUGUAGCUUAUGGCCAGGCACAGUGGCACACGCCUGUAAUCCCAGCACUUUGAGAUGCCAAGGCUGGCAGAUCUCUUGAGCUCAGGAGUUUGAGACCAGCCUGCAAAACACAGUGAAACCCUGCCUCUAUAAAAAAUACAAAAAUUAGGUGGGCAUGGUAGUCUGUGAAUGUAGUUCCAGCUACUUGGGAGGUUGAGGUGGAAGGAUCACUUGACCCCAGGAGGUCAAGGCUGCAGUGAGUCAUGAGUGUGCCACUGCACUCCAGCCUGUGCGACAGAGUGAGACUCCGUCUCAAGAAAAGAAAAGAAAAAGGAAACUGCAACGAUGAACAGAUCAGAAUAGGCGACAUGCACUGAACAAGGUAAAAAAGACAGAAAAUUAUCUGGAGAGGUGGCCGGAGGACACAUCAAGAAGCGCCUUGUACAUUGUUACUGCUGGAGCAGUAGCACGAUGAAGGAGUAUGUCAAGGAAGAGGAUGACAUGUCCCACCAACAGUGGCUCCGACUCAAGAAAGAAGGGACGGGAAUCGCAGGAUGUAGGUGACGGGGAUUCCAGGGUGCCAACCGUGCAGCGGCCUCAGAGAGCAACCUGAGCAGAUCGAAGCAAGUCUCCAGAAAACAUAGCUCCAAAAAGAUGAAAUUGAUAUAUUUGAACAUAUGGGAAGAACAUCCACACUUCUGAAGAGGACUGGGGUCAAAUUGCUGAUAACUGCUUACAUAGCUAAGCAAAUUUUUAAAAAAGAAUAUUAACUUUAGGGAACAUCGAAAGAUCUUAAAUAAAAAGUAACCAUGA
rnacentral:lncRNA from 10 species